UUCGAUCGAACCAUUAGAAAGCUCGGUCGCCAUUGGACAUUAUUGCUAUGAGCAUUAAAAUGGAUUGGCUUGUGAAUCGAGGAGUUGAAUUCUGGUCCUGGGCAGAAUCAGUUGCAGAUGUUCGAACUAAACAUUGGUUUUUGAUACCAAGUCCAUAUCCAUCGUACACCAUCGCAAUCGUAUAUCUACUAGGAGUUUGGUAUGGACCUAAGAUCAUGGAGAAUUAUAAACCUUUUAAAUUGAAUCGAAUAAUGGUAACUUAUAACGCCUGCCUCAUCUUAUUGAAUGCUUUUGUUUUUAAAGAGUUCUUAAUGUCAACAGUUUUUAAUCCAGACUUUGAUGUUUUCUGUAACAAGGUUGACUAUUCAAAUGACCCACAGGCCAUCAGGUUAGCAAAUGCUACAUGGUGGUUCUUCUUUUCUAAGAUCAUUGAAUUGACAGAUACGGUAUUCUUUAUACUCCGCAAGAAACAUACGCAAAUCUCAUUCUUGCAUGUGUACCAUCACUCAACAAUGGUGAUGCUCUGGUGGGUUGGCGUUCGCUGGGUUGCCGGUGGUAACUCAUAUAUGUGUGCAACAGUAAACACCUUCAUUCAUGUUGUGAUGUAUGGCUACUACUUACUCUCAGCCUGUGGACCAGCAGUCCGCAAGCACUUGUGGUGGAAGAAAUAUCUAACAUCCCUGCAAUUGGCCCAGUUUGUGUUUAUCUUGAUGCAUACUCUUAACACUCUACGUGUCGGCUGUGAUGUACGACACCGUCCAUACAUGAUAACGUUAACGUUCUACCUCAUUAGUCAUAUAGUACUCUUUGCCGACUUCUUCAGGAAGACCUAUAUCACCAAGAAACUACCAAAAGCUGAACAAAAUGGUCACAGUAAUGGAACCAAUUAUACGGAAACUCACAAUGGAAAUUACAACCUUCGAGAGAGACCAAGACAAUCUAGUAGAAAAGAUAAUUAAGUACAAUAUGUCAUUUAAACAAAUAGUGCGAUGAAAUCUUAAAUAUUGUUUACAAUUAAAUAAGUAUUUGUGGUGAAAUUCUGAUGAUAAAUUAUAAAUACUUAUGGUAUUUUGGCUAGCCAUCAUGACAUCACAAUUUGUGAUUUCAUCAAAUAACAUUGAUGAAGUCAUAGAUAACUUUGAUGACAUUAAUAUGACAUCCCAUUUUUAUGACAUCUCAAUCUAAAUUACUUAACAAUGAUUACUAAAAUAUCCUUUCCUUUUAAAUAAUGUAUACAAUUUACCAUCUUUCAUAAUUGUGUAAUGUUGUCUUUGAUAUUCAAAGUAUAUAAUGAAUUUGAGAAGUCGAUUGGUUGAUUUGUCUUUACUCAGUAUAUAAAUAAUCCUAAUAAACUGUAUUCCAAUACUCACUGUAUUAAAAUAUAUUGAGCAUUUGAGCAUGUUAGUGUAUAAUGGACCGCCCCUUCCCCGCCCCUUGGAUAUUGUUGCUAAGGUCCCCACCAAAUGGCAUUGUAAAAACAUGCACGUGUUUGUGUGAUGGUAACGUGUGUUUGUAGGAUCUGCGUGUAUUCCUGACUCUGAUCUGAUUGGUCAGUUAAUUGACACCCCGGAAAUGUGCAUUGUUACAUCAUUUAUUUUUUUGUUGUAAGGAUGAACAAAUUUAAAUUUUAAAGAAUUCUUUAUUUAAGAGGGUGUGUGAUUAGGGAAUAUUUCAUUAUGUUGGGUAAAGGCAAACAGAAAUAACUUGAUGUUUGUUUAAUGUCUAUUCUGUAUUUAGUGCUGCUUUUAUAAAGUAGGUUUUGUUCUCUUCAUGCCAUUAUGUACUGGUAAAGGUUAGAGAAUAACUAAUCGCACUGUCAUUGUGCUAAAUAGAACUAAAUUUCUGUAUCAUAGAAAAAAAAAUUUACAUAAAAUUAGCAAUAACUAGGGCCUAAAGAAAUGCCUAAGAUUUGUUUGCAUUAUUAAGUUGCAAUUGUGUGUAACCAUGUAGAAUUGUAUGAACCAAAUUUCUAUAUCAUUUAUUUAAAACUUUCUUCACCCCCAAGGGUCCCUCCAUGUCUGUACUACCCGGUAACCCGGUACCAGCAACUCUCGUCGUCCACCACAGGGGCUGUCUGGACCAUUACACCGGAGUAUCCCCCUACUCGCCUCAAAUGAUGUAGUGGGUCUUUAUAGUGCGCAAAAGCCCUUGUGUACACUGGGCCUAUGGUUUAUAGUCCUUAUCCAAGAACACUUGUUCUACCACCAGAACCAUAGGCAAGCGUGCCAUUUGAACCAGUGCCGAUAUUAUGGCUGUAGGUUGAUGCGCCCCUGCCUUAACCGCUCGGCCAUUCUUGUUUACAUACAUGAUCAUUUCUAAGAUAAUCAAAAUUCAACUUAAUAUUUCUAGAGACCAAUUAUUUUAUUAAUGUUUUGUUUAUAUGUUUGUGCAGUAUUUGCAUAUUAAAGGCAUCAACCAUGCUUUAUUCUAAUUCUACUUUUUUCAGUGCCUGACUUGUUUUAUAAGGUAAAAAAUAGAAAAAAUGAAUCAUGUUUGAUAUUUAUCUUUGCAGCUGAUACUACAAAGUUUGUCUUUGCCACAAUAUUUGCAAUGUAAUUAAUAGGGCAUCUUUAAAAUUUGCACAAUCCUUAUUAACAUUGUAUAUAAUGAACAUCAAUUUAUUUUUGUGUAGUAUUAUUAAUUUAGAGAUGUCUCAAUACUUAUGUUUUUUACAAUUAUCUAAAAACAUUUUUAUUAGUAUGCAAUAGUGUAUAAUUUCAGCUAGAUGUUAUUUGCAGUGUUGUGUACCGUAUAAUAGUCUUAUUCUUGGUAAAGAUGCACUGUCUAAACUAAAAUCCGAUAUUUUAAUCUUGCUUUUGUAUAUGUAACACGGGUGGGACCAAUGUGUGGGCCAUCGCCCGCAGGAAGGCCUGUCGCAGGGGAACCCCUUUCAAAUCGUGGAAAACUGAAACCUGGUGGGGCCGAGGAGGGUGUGGCCCAUCUGUCAGGGAACUGUGGAUUACUUGUCGUGGAAAAACAUUUUAGAAUUUAAUUUUAUUAAAAAAUUAGAUCAAUAAAGUGUUUUUCUUGCCAAUUAAUCGGAUUACAAUACUAAUGUUCGUGGUAAAUUUUUGCUGGCAAUGAGUAUAAGGAUUUUUUCAGACCAUUCAAACAGUGUAUCUUUACCAAGGUUGUGCUGUGUGACAUUUGAUGUGUAUUUAAAGGUUUGUGACUGUUAAAAGUGUUUCUAUAAAGACUUACAUAGAGGUCUGUCAUAAUAAUUCUGUUAGAGUAAUGCUGUUGUAUAAUAUUUCAAAGGUAGAGCGUGUUUAGGUUAGCUAAAAACCUGUUCUUAAAAGUGCUCUUCCACCAAUUGGACACAUACACAUAUUUAUUUUUGGUAUACUAGUUAGACAAUGCAAUUUGCAAUAUAGAACUUGAAGCUGAAUAACACUGCAAAUGGUAUGCAUCAUACAAGCAUACUGUACUUGAGUCUGUACUUUGAGAAAUUCAAUCAUAUUUUAUUUUCCAUACCUUUACUUUUUUUUAUCAUGCAACAAUGGACAUGAACAUUCAUUGACUUCGGAAGAACGAAAUGUAUAUAAUUUUGCACCUAUGAAUAUAUCUUCAAAAUAUUGCUGAAAUGGUACUUAAGUUUAGUGUCUUAAUUAAAUUCAAUUAUAUUUUAAUUUCCAUACCUUUACUUUUUUUUUAUCAUGCAACAAUGGACAUGAACAUUCAUUGACUUCGGAAGAACCAAGUGUAUAUAAUUUUGCACAUAUGAAUAUAUCUUCAAAAUAUUGCUGAAAUGGUACUUAAGUUUAGUGUCUUAAUUUUUUAAUAUUUGAUGAAUUCCACCACUACAUAAGUAAUUAUUGGACAAACCACCAUGGUUUCAUAUUUUAAAUGAUAUAUUUUCACUGUUACUUAAAUUAUAUGCUUUUCAUAUAUUGUUUAAUGAUUAGGUUGCAAUGCUUUCAAUAUGCAGUUGUUUGUAUUUGUCUAGGUUAGUACAGUAGUAAAGUGAUGUGAGAGUUUUUUUGUAGUGCAUUAAGUGAAAUGUGUUUGUCCUGCCUAUGCAUGCUUUAAGUUGACACUGUAUCAUGCAAAAUAUUUUGCACUCCCUCUGCAAAGAUGGGGGUAUGUACAUAAGGUUAUACCAGAACCUCCACAAAAGUGUUGCCUUACAUUGCAAAAAAAACUAUUUUAAUUGGUCGCCAACAGAUCCACAAUACAGUACACUUUUCCAACUAUUUUCAUAUGCAUGUAUGGUCCACAUUGGAUAGAAUUAUUCUGUACUUAAUUACUUGUACUUAAUUUUAUCUUUAAUGUUUGUUUAGUAGUCAGUGUUGUUAGAAUCGUAAAUAUAAAUUAGUAUGGUAAAGUAAAUGCAGCUGAUUUCAUGAAUUUGUGAAAUUGAAUCAGCUGAAAUGUUCUCUUUAUAAAAAUGUUACUAAGCUAAGCUAAUGUUACACUAUCAAGCAGCUUCACUUUAUCUCUUCGUUGCCUCUUAAGAGAAGAACUGAAAAUUGAAAAAAAAAUAUGUUAAAAACAUUUGUAAUUGCAAGGACAACCUCUCUAAAAUCAAUUAGUAACAAAUAAGUUAUUAUAUUCAAUAUUUAUUUAGAUGUCCAGAAGAUUUGUCUGGUUAAACAAACUGGACUAGAUAUAUUUGUUUUAUAUGUAUUUUUGCAAAUGGCUGAAUUAUUUGUAGUGAUGUGAUAAAUAAUUUAGACAUGUUGAUGCCUAUCGUUGUCACUAAUAUUUUUUUGUUAUAAUCCUUUAAAAAAAAACCUCAAAAUUUAAUUGAAAUAUAUACAUAUUUAGUUGAAGAGACCUCUUUUAGUAGCAUUUGUUGGAAUUGUCAUAAAGUGAUAGGGCAUAGGCUGGGGAAGGGGUUGCUGGGGAUAGCAACAGGCCCCUACAGUGGAAAAAUAAAAAUGACAAGGGAUUCCGUUCACUUUUUUGAACCCCCUACCACUCUCCAGCCUGAACCAGUCCAGUGGCAGAUUGAAGGGGGUGCCCUCCCCCCAAAUUGUCCAAAAUUUAUUAUAAGGAAAUGGAGAUAUAAAGAAAAUUAUAUUCAAAAAUCUAAAGGGUGCAUCUAGAGGUGCCAUAAUCACCAAUUUUCUUUUACCUCUGCCCCUACCUUGGUGGGCCUGAGGUGGUAUAUCCUCCAUCUGCGAAAAGACCCCCUGCCCCCUUCUAUUUUGAAUUGCUGUAUCCGCCACUGCAGCCUUCUCCUCUGAUUGAUAUAUGCAAGACCGUCCAAGAUUUCUUAUAUUUUUACUGUUUUUUUUUGUUUUGUUUAAUUAAAGGUGUGUCUUGUUGAUUCUCAAAAGUAUUGUUGUAAGUCAUUGAUGCCCAGUAGUACGCAUUGAAUAUCUAGUAGUAGGCCUAACUCCUCUGUUAUCUGAUUUCAGUAUAAAAAUGAAUAAAAAUUUCUUUUAAAUUCCAAAU